rnacentral:lncRNA from 1 species
GAUCAUCAGCCAAAAUAUCGGAAUACACUUAAAAGAGUAGGAAUAUGUAACCAAAAAAUCCUGAAAAUAAAGUUGAAAUUGAUUAACAAAAAGUAGGAAUACAAAAAAUAAACUUGAAACAUUUAAUCAAAAUAUUGGAAUUCAAUACAAAGAGUGAGAAUAUAGAACCAAAAAAUAAUGGAAAAAGGAGUAGAAGAGCAAAACUUAAAAGUUGGAAUAACUUGAUAAGAAUUUGAUAAAUUCCAAUGAAAAGUCGAGAUCCAAAAAAUGAACUUGAAACAUUCACCUAAAUGUUGGAAUUCAAUAAAAAGAGUAGGAAUAUAGUAUCGUGGAAAAAAGAGUUGAAGAGGUUAACAAAAUAGUUGGAACAACUUACAAAGAAUUUGAUGAAUUCCAAUGAGAAAUAGGGAUCUUAAAAAUGAACUUGAAAUAUUAACUCAAAAUAUUGGAAUUUAGUAAAAAAAAAGUAGGAAUAUAUAACGAAAAUGUGAUGAUAAUAAUAGUUGAAGAACUUAACCAAAAAGUUGUAAGUAUCUACCAAUAAUAUAAUAAAUUCCAACAGUGAAUAGGGAUCUAAAAAAUAAACUUGAAACAUCCACAUAAAAUAUUGAAAUUCAAUUAAAAAAGUAGCAAUAUAGAACCAAUAUAUGGUAGGAAAAUGAGUGGAAGUGCUUAACAUAGAAAUUGAAACAUGUACUUAUUGGAAUUCAAUAAAAAAAAAAAGUAGGAAUAUAGAACCAAAAUUUGGUGAGCAAAUAAGUUGAAAACGUUGACCCAAAAGUUAGAACAACUGACAAAGAAUUUGAUAAAUUUUAAUGGAAAGCAGGGAUCUAAAAACAUAACUUGAUAUAUUUACCCAAAUUUUAGAAUUCAAUAAAAAGAGUAGGAAUAUAGAACCAAUAAAUGGUGAAAAAGGAGUGGAAAAGCAUAACUCAGAAGUUGGAAUGACUUAACAAGAGUUUGAUAAAUUCCAAUGAAAAAUAGAUAUCUGAGAAAUGAACUUGAAACAUUCACCCAGAUGUUGGAAUUCAAUAAAAAGAGUAGAAAUAACGAACCAAAAUUUGAUGGAAAUAAAAGUUGAAGAGGUUAACUCGAAGGUUGGAACAACUUACAAAGAAUUUGAUAAAUUUUAUCAGAAAGUAGGGAUUUAAAAAUUGAACUGGAUAUAUUUACCCAAAAUGUUGGAAUUCAAUUAAAAGAAUAGAAAUAUAGUACCAAAAAGUGGUGGGAACAACAAUUGAAGAGUUUAACCCUAAAGUUGUAAGUACUUACUAAUAACUUGAUAAACUUCAACAAUAAAUAGGGAUUUAAAAAAUGAACUUGAAACAUCUAUGGCAAUAUAUUGGAAUUCAAUGAAAAGAAUAGGAAUAUAAAACCAAAAAGUGGUGAAAAAAAGAGUUGAAGAGCUUAACCUAAAACUUGGAAUGAGUUACUAAGAAUAUGAAAAAUCCAACAAGAAGUAGGGAUCAAGAAAUAAUCUUGAAACAUUUGCAAAAAAAUAUUAAAAUUAAGUAAAAAUAAUAGAAAUAUAGAACCAAAAAUGGUGGAAACAAGAGUUAAGAGCAUAACCUAAAAGUUUGAAGAACUUAGCAAGAAUUUGAUAAAGUUUAACAACCAAUCGAGAUCUAGAAAAUGAACCUGAAAUAUCCAAGUAAAAUGUUAGAAUUCAAUGAAAAGAGUAGGAAUAUAGAACCAAAAAGUAGUGGAAAUAAGAGUGGAAGGAAUUAACCUAAAAGUUAAAAUAACUUAAUAAUAAUUUGAUAAAUUUAAACGUGAAGUAGUGAUCCAAAAAGUAAAUUUAAUACAUUUACCUAAAAUAUUGGAAUUCAAUAAAAAGAGCAGGAAUAUUGAACCAAAAAGUGGUGGAAAAAUAAAUUGGAACAACUUAGCAAUAACUAGAUAAAGUCUAACAGAAUAUAGAAAUGAAAAAAUAAACUUGAAAUAUUAACCUAAAAAUUAGAAAUUUAAUGAAAGAACUGGAAAUAUAGAACUAAUAACUAAUGGAAAAAUGAAUUGAAACAACUUACCAAAAAUUUGAUAAAUUCCAACGGAAAGUAGGGAUCUAGAAAUUGAACUUGAAAUAUCCAAACAAAAUUUUAGAAUUCAAUAAAAAGAUUAUGAAUAUAGAACUAAAAAGUGGUGGGAACAGGAGUUGAAGAAGUUAACCCAAAAGUUGAAAUAAUUUACCAAGAAUUUAAUAAAUUCAAAUGAGAAGUAGAGAUCUAAAAACUAAACUUGAUAUAUUUACCCAAAAUAUUAUAAUUCAAUAAAAAUAAUAGGAAUAUAAAACCAAAAAGUGGUAGAAAAAUAAAUCGGAACAAUUCACCAAUAACUAGAUAAAGUUUAACACAUUAUAGAGAUAUAAAAAUAAACUUGAAACAUUCACCUAAAAAGUUGGAAGUUAAUGAAAAGAGUGGAUAUAUAGAAUCAAAAACUAGUGGAAAAAUAAGUUGGAACAACGUAUCAAAUUUAGAUAAAGCACCCAGAAAAAUAGGAAUUGAAAAGUAAACUUGAAAUAUGCAUUAUAAAUAUUGAAAUGUGACAAAAUAAGUAGGAAUAUAACCAUUUUGUGACAUAUUUAUAUAUUUUUUAUAUUUUUUGUACUAUUUUUAAAUUUAAAAUUAUUACAAUCUUUUUCCUCAUUUAAUUACAAUUUUAUCUUUUUUUAAAUUUUUCAUAAUUUUUUCACAUUAAAAAAAAAUGUAAUUUUCAUUAUAUUAUCUGAUUAAAAAUCAGUUGUAACGGUUGUAUGCAUGCGCUGUAUCACAUAUAGCGCUGCAUGAUAGGUUAACUCAUAAAUUAGAAGGAACAGAUUACAGUUCGUUUUAUGAAAUGUCAAUAGUUAAAAGUUUUUUUUUUUAUAGGAGGUCAAUAGUUAAAAGUUAUUAUCUAAAUCAACAUUAAUUUUUAGGGAGUCUAGCUACCUUAUAUUAUCUGUUAGUUAUAGAUCAAGAAAAGACAAGUUAAUAAAUAAGGGGCGACACGUGGAGUUAAUUGGAGAAUCAAAUGAUUGGAGUAACUGGUCACACUCUAGUUGAAAAAUAGAGGUUAACGUUUUUGCGGGAGGUUUAGCUACCUUACAUUAUCUGUUGGUUAUAAACUAAGCAAAGACAACUUAAUAAAUAAGGGAUGACACAUGGAGUUAAUUGGAGAGUCAAAUUAUUGGAGCAACUGGUCGCACUUCCGUUGAAAAAUCGAGGUUAAUUUUUUUGAGCCUCCAAAUGUUCUAACAUACGCCACCAAGUCCCCCCUCCCCCCAAUUCCAUUUAUUUUGCAGUUAAAUCUAGCCAUUUCAGUUUCAAUUUUGAAAGACUAAACCCCUUGAAUUGACAUUUAUGUUACUAAAUAGGCAUUAGAAAAAAAAUAUUUGGAUGAAACUUUUUUACCCAAUUUUAUUUAAAUAUCAAGAAAUAAAUUUAUUUUUUCAGGGAAUAACGUUAUUUCUUUGAAAUACAUUUUUUCCUAAUUUUUUUUAGAUUUUUGAACAUUUUAGACAAUUUUAGCGUAAUUUGUGUCAAGUACUAAAACAUGAGAUUACAAAUUCAACUUGUUAAAAAAAAAAGAAAAUUCCUAAAUAUAUUUUCUUACUUCCUCAAUAAGCUGUCGUUAAGAAAAGUCAACUACUGUUAGCACUUAGCACUGAUAUAUUAAUUGUAAUUAGAAAUAUACUUAUAUUUAUUUAAAAAAUAUUGAAAAUGUUCUUUCCUAAGUGUCAUUUGUAAAACAAAAUCGUCAACGUUAUUUUUUUGUAAUCUUUAUACAUUAAAAAAUUAUGUAAGUUAAUAUAGUAAAUUCACUCGGUCAAAUAUCCAAACAACUGAAGUUAGUAUUUAUUUUUAUUUGGUAAUGAAAUGGGCGCUAAGUGAUGACUUCAGAGUGCGAAGGGAUAAAUGGAGAUUGUUGAUUCAUGUGGGCGUGCUUGAAAUUAAUCCUUUCGCAAGUUUCCCACCACUGAUUUUUUUGCUUCCAUUAAUUUCUAUCCGUUGGAUUUCAGACAAUCCGUUGGAUUUCAGACAAAAAAUCCAACGAAUAAUAGCUGCGAGCUAUUAGUUAAUAGAGUUAUGUAACCUAGCCGCUGCCUUUUUUGGGGCCUGAAUUUUUAAUUUUAUGUAUCAUGUUUUCUUAAAAUAGCUACCAAACACUUACUUCCCUUAAAUUUUGAAAACAAAAAUAAUAUUGGGCUCUCAAAAAUAAUAUUAAAUAAACUUAAAUUUGUAUUCUUUAAUCUUAAAAAUUUAUGGGUCGCAUAUGAUAAGAAGCAGCCACAACCACUAGAGUUACGCAAGUCCAGCAGAGGGCAUAAGCCAAAUCCCAAGUACGUGACGUGAAGAUUUUCGGCUUAGCCUUGCAUGGUUCAUGCAUGCAUGGGUUCACGUGGGAAUAAUGCACCAAAGUUGUUAGAGCAAGAAUCAAGGGAUUUGAUAGCUGCAACAAUCGUGCAGGAAUAGCAGUUAAGAUAGAAUCCUUAGUAAAGAUGGAAUCCUUAGUAGUUGUUGUUUAGUUUUGUGUUUCGUAAAAGUAGCAAGGAUGUUAUUUCAGCUUGAUUACAGCCGUGAUUAUAGGCUGAGUUUGUUAUGUUUGUAUUAUAAAUAAAGGCUCCAGCAAAAAAAAAAAAGGCAUUCAAUCAACAAAGUCAAUUUAUCUUGGUCUUUGUUUUCUCGCCAUAAGCAGAAAACUCUUGUGGUUGAUUAACUAACUUUGAUUAGGACCUAUCAUUUGGUAUCAGAGCUAGGCUAUCAAUGACGACUAACAAGGAACGCAUUGAACGAAUUGAAGCUGAUCUGGGAAGCUUACAGGACAGAAUGGAACAGAUGGAGGUGGGAAUCAAUGACAAGUUGCAGCGUCUUAAGGAGACAAUAAACAAACUCGUGGAAUCAAACAAUGCAACCAAGGGCACCACCAGUCGUAACUCAACUGAAAAUUCAAGCUCUACAAAACAUGCUCGUGAGGAAAGAGAUGCAGGGCGGCACAUGCCUCCAACACGGAUUACCAAGCUAGAAUUUCCCCGUUUCGCCGGCGAUGAUCCGACAGAAUGGUACAGCAGGGUAUCUUAGUACUUUGAAUAUCAGGAAACUAUGGAUGAACACAAAGUAACCUUGGCUGCAUAUCACUUGGAGGGAGAGGCAAAUCAGUGGUGGCAAUGGAUGCGAAGGGCUUAUGAAGAAUAAAAGCGACCAGUUACAUGGAAAAUAUUCGUUGAGGAACUAUGGGCACGUUUUGGACCGACAGAGUGUGAGGAUUUUGAUGAAGCUUUGUCUCGGGUCAGACAGACGGGAUCAUUGCGUGAAUAUCAUAAGGAAUUCGAAAGGCUUGGGAACCAAGUUCAUGGGUGGUCUCAAAAAGCAUUGGUGGGAACAUUUAUGGGGGGCUUGAAACCAGAGAUUGCGGAAGACAUUCGUAUGUUCAGACCCCGCACAUUAAAGGAAGCCAUUAGUCUACCCAUAUGAAGGAUGAUCAAAUAGCACGACAGAAGAAAAUAAUCAGGUCAUCAAUUCCUAUUCGGUCCCCAUAUGCUCCGAAUCGAGCCACAACAACAACACCUUAUAAGAGGCUAUCAUAGGAAGAGAUGCAGAGGAGGCGAGCCCAGGGAUUGUGCUUCAAUUGUAAUGACAAAUUCACCGCCGGCCACAAGUGUACCAAGGCACAGUUACUAAUCCUGGAAUGCGAAACAACACCGAAAGAGGGUUUGUAUGAAGAAUUUGCUGCCGAUGAGCCAAUCAUGGAAUCAACAGAAACAGUAAACCCUAAAAUUACUUUAUAUGCUUUGUCCGGAUGGGCCGCACCACAAACUAUGCGCGUUAUGGCAAAAAUUGGGCAGUACGCAAUUGUCAUCCUCAUUGACAGCGGGUCCACACACAAUUUUAUCAGUUCAUGCUUAGCCAAUUUGUUGCAAUUGCCGAUCAAGCCAACAACAUCUUUUUCUGUACAAGUCGCUAAUGGGGCGAAAUUAACAUGCCAAGGGAUGUUUGAAAAGGUACAAAUAUUAAUCCAAAAUAUUCCUUUUUCUCUCAUCGUGUAUUCCCUGCCAAUAACAAGAUUGGAUAUGGUCUUGGGGAUCCAAUGGCUCGAGACACUGGGCUCUGUUGUGUGCAAUUGGAAAGACUUGACUAUGGAAUUUGAAUGGGAGGAUAAAAAGCAACGCUUGCAAGGAAUCAAUCCCCACGCUGUGCAAUCAGCAUCAGUAACAGAAGUUGCAAAAGAAAUUAAACAGGGGCAAGAAGUCUACGCUAUAUGCUUUUACACUUCAUUAGAAGACUCUUUUGACAAGACUCCUAUUUGCAUGCAAUAAAUAUUAGUUGAAUAUUCAGAAUUAUUCCAAGAGCCUAGGCAACUACCACCCUCAUGGGACAUUGACCACAACAUUCCAUUAAAAGAAGGAACUGAGCCGGUGAACGUGAGACCCUAUCGAUAUCCAUAUUUUCAAAAAUCAGAGAUUGAGAAGCAAGUACAGGAGAUGUUAAACUCAGGAUUGAUAAGGCCAAGCACCAGUCCCUUUUCCUCGCCCGUAUUGUUGGUCAAGAAGAAAGACGGCAGCUGGCGAUUUUGUACUGACUACCGUGCCCUUAACCAAGUUACAAUCAAGGACCGCUUUCUGAUACCGACCGUUGAAGACAUGUUAGAUGAGCUCCAUGGUGCUGCUUACUUCACCAAGUUAGAUUUACGAGCAGGGUACCACCAAGUACGUGUAAAUCCAGCCGACAUAUACAAAACAGCGUUUCGGACUCACAAUGGCCACUACGAAUACUUGGUGAUGCCGUUCGGGCUGUGUAAUGCCCCAUUCACCUUUCAGGCAAUCAUGAAUUCUAUCUUUCGUCCAUAUCUUAGAAAAUUCAUUCUGGUUUUUUUUGAUGAUAUACUAAUCUACAGUCCUACAUGGAGCAAACAUCUGGAUCAUGUUCAGCAGGUACUGGAGAUUUUAAAAAACAGAGAUUUUUUAUCAAACCAAGCAAGUGUAAUUUCGGCCAGCAAGAGUUAGAAUACUUGGGCCAUAUAAUAACUUGCCAUGGCGUCAAGGUCGACGGGAACAAAAUUGCAGCCAUGAUUUCGUGGCCACGACCUCAAAAUAUAACAGAGUUGAGAGGAUUUCUUGGGCUCACAGGAUAUUACAGAAAAUUUGUCCAAGGUUAUGGGAUUAUAGCACAUCCGCUCACCAACUUAUUGAAAAAGGGGCAGUUCGUAUGGAACAGUGAGGCGGAGGAAGCAUUUGAGAAAUUAAAAAAGGCCAUGAGCAGUACCCCAACAUUAGCCAUGCCAAAUUUUCAUGAGACUUUCAUUGUGGAAACUGACGCGUCUGGUGAAGGAAUUGGGGCAGUACUACAGCAGCAAGGGAGGCCGAUUGCUUACAUGAGCCAUGCUUUAGGCACUUCAAAAAAGGGGUGGUCUAUUUACAAUAAAGAGAUGUUAGCAAUUGUGGAGGCUGUCCGAAGGUGGAGACCUUAUUUGCUUAGACAUCGGUUCAUCAUCAAAACCGAUCAACAAAGCAUUAAAUUUUUUUUGGAACAACAAGUGGCUACACCCGAGCAGCAUAAAUGGAUGAGUAAAUUGAUGGGGUAUGAUUAUGAGAUUGUUUACAGACCAGGGCGUGAGAAUAAAGCCGCCGAUGCCUUAUCCCGACGAUCUGACAGUCCACUUCUUUAUCUCUUGUUUGUACCACAGAUUGCUAUUUGGGACGAAAUCAAGGAGGCCACUAGUAGUGACGAAUAUAUGCAAAAGAUAUUGACGGUAGCUCAAAACCAAACUCCAAGGCCAUACACGGUUCGUAAUGGACUGUUAUUCUUUAAGGAAAGAGUGGUGGUUCCACGUACUUUACGCGAGUCACUUCUAUAUGAGGCUCACGACACUAAAAUUGGGGGUCAUUCGGGAGUCGUGCGAACCUACAAGCGCCUUUCACAACAGUUUUACUGGCCAGCAAUGUUUCAGGCAGUACGAGAAUAUGUGAGUAAAUGCAAAGUCUGUCAACAGGUGAAGUUUGACACUCUCAAGCCAGCUGGUCUUCUACAGCCACUACCCAUACCAUGCCAAGUUUGGGAUGAUAUCUCCUUGGAUUUUGUCGAAGGCUUACCAUCUUCACAAGGCAAGGAUACCAUAUUGGUCGUGGUGGAUCGACUAAGUAAGUUCGCUCACUUUAUUUCCUUAACCCACCCUUUUUCUGCUAAGAUAGUGGCUGAGAAAUUCGUUGAACAUGUGGUGAAGUUACAUGGCAUGCCUAAAAGUAUAAUUAGUGAUCGCGACCCAAUUUUCAUCAGCAAAUUCUGGCAUGAAUUUUUUAAUUUGUCUGGCACUAAAUUAAAAAUGAGUUCUGCCUACCAUCUGCAGACAGACGGCCAAACCGAGGUAAUUAAUCGCUACCUCGAACAAUAUUUGAGGUGUUUUGUGCAUUAGUGGCCGAAGAAGUGGCACACAUUCUUGCCUUGGGCGGCGUUUUGGUAUAACACCACCUUCCAUGUCUCUACGGGCAUGACACCAUUCCAAGCUCUGUACGGCAGAACACCCCCAACUGUACCUUUCUAUCAUGUUGGGUCAUCUCCUGUGAAUGAAGUGGACCAGGCGUUGCUUACCCGAGAUGACUUGCUACGCCAGUUGAAGCAUAAUUUGGCCAUGGCAACAAAUCGAAUGAAGCAAGUGGCUGACAAGAGGCGUCGCGAUGUGGAAUUUCAGAAUGGUGAUUUGGUGUUUUUAAAGUUACAACCUUAUAAACAAUCCUCGGUGUUCAAGAGGGCUCAUAAAAAAUUAGCAUGCAUUUAUUUCGGGCCGUAUAAGAUUGUACGCAAAAUUGGUCCAGUUGCUUAUAAACUUCAGCUGCUUGAAAGCUCUCGCAUUCAUCCAGUAUUUCAUGUUUCAUUAUUGAAGAAAGCUAUCGGCGAUUUCAGUAGCAGUACUGACUUACCUUCAGUUGAUGAUGAAGGCCUGAUAGUCCUGGAACCUCUUGCUAUUCUUGAUACCCGUUGGUUGAGAAGAGGUGGCAAAGUGGUGGAACAACAAUUAGUUCAAUAGAAGCGGCUACCAGUCGAAGAUGCAACGUGGGAAGAUACAGAGCUUUUGCAACAACAAUUUCCUCACAUGACCCUUGAGGACAAGGGCACUUUUCGGGAAGAGGGUAAUGAUAAGAAGUAGCCACAACCACUAGAGUUACGCAAGUCCAGCAGAGGGCAUAAGCCAAAUCCCAAGUACGUGACGUGAAGAUUUUCGGCUUAGCCUUGCAUGGUUCAUGCAUGCAUGGGUUCACGUGGGAAUAAUGCACCAAAGUUGUUAGAGCAAGAAUCAAGGGAUUUGAUAGCUGCAACAAUCGUGCAGGAAUAGCAGUUAAGAUAGAAUCCUUAGUAAAGAUGGAAUCCUUAGUAGUUGUUGUUUAGUUUUGUGUUUCGUAAAAGUAGCAAGGAUGUUAUUUCAGCUUGAUUACAGCCGUGAUUAUAGGCUGAGUUUGUUAUGUUUGUAUUAUAAAUAAAGGCUCCAGUAAAAAAAAAAGGCAUUCAAUCAACAAAAUCAAAUUAUCUUGGUCUUUGUUUUCUCGCCAUAAGCAGAAAACUCUUGUGGUUGAUUAGCUAACUUUGAUUGGGACCUAUCAUUAUAUUUCAUUCUUAUUUCUCCUCGUAUUUAAACAAACAAAUAAUAUAUUUCUCAAUCCCAUAAGUAAACUAUUGAAACGACCCGCCGCGAACCCCCAAGGCGAGUCUAUCUAAUCUCAUCAAAACUUAACUAAUAAUAAUCUAAUUAGAAAUUUGGCAAAGUCUCUUCUAUAAAUAUAACACUUCUAGCCUAAAAAAUAUGUAAAACAUACACUCCCAAUAUAAUAAAACGAGAUGAGUAUAAAACUUAAUGAACUCAGUGAGUGGAUAGUAGUUUUUGAAAGUAAACUUCAAAAUAAUUUUAUUAUUUUAGUAAAUAACUUUAUUGAAAUACCAUAAGAAAACUUAAGUAAACUCAUUUAAUUAUAAAUCAUACACUAAUAUAAACAUAAGAUAUAAUACCACAUAAAAUCAAGCAAGUUAUAAACACAUUGUAAUCUCAAAUACUGAAUUCUGAAAGCCAACACUAAACAAGUACCCAAGGGAAUAAUCCUGUCAUACCCGGACCUCAAACGGACAGGCAAUGACACACUAUAAGGUUAUCGUCAGGCCCCAAAGCUACAACGGGUAGGACAAUGGAAUGCCAUCUCAUAUAUCUAAUAUAUCUCAUUAUAUCUCUGCAUGCACAAAUUAGUCUCCAAAGGACAAAAGCACCCAAGCACACAACCCAAAACCUUGGUGCGUACUCUAACGAGCCUCAAAGGACUAUAUCAUAUUCGUAUCUCAAUAACUGUGUCUCUGUUAUCAUCAUAUUGUAUACAUAAGUCGCCCAAACGCAAAAGCACCCAAACAUACGGCCCAAAACCUCUAAGUGUGUUCAGAUAGGCCCAAAGGCCUCUCAUCAUAUAUGUGUCACUGUAACUGGAAGGAAAGGAUAUUGUCCAAUGAUUUUGCAAACAAUGUUUUUAUACACAUAUACACGAACAUAUAAUCAUACUAUAAACUCAUUUAUUUUCUAUUUAACAUACUUAGAAUCCAUUUUAUUUUCUUUAAAAUACUAUCACGCAUUACUAAAAAAUUGAUAGGGAAACCGAUAAUCACAUACUUUUUAGUAAUAUAAUAAUACGUAAAUAAAACUCAUUUCUAAGAAAACAUUAAAUAGAAGCAUAAAAAAUUGAUUUGCAAACAUGCUUUACUAUACUUUAAAAUCAUAACAUUAUGAAAAUAUAUUUUCUAUAUUCCACUCCCAGUGACGAUACUUAGAUUCGGUUGUCAUCCACGCCCGCGUACUAGUUCUCGCUCAUGGAUCCUCCCAAAUCAAGAAAAUGACAUAAACAUUUUCCGUAAAUGUGAAAUAGGACUAAAUUUACGCAAUAAACCUUGAAACAAACAUCUGUCUAUAAUUUACAACUCUUGUGUUGAUAAAAUUACCAAAAUACCCUCGAAUCUGUAAAUCAUUUAAAUACUCUGAAAUCGUAAAUCACUGUAUUACCCUUAGAAUUGUAAUUACUAACCUAUCCUCAAUUUUAGAAAUUACUAAAAUAUCUACAGGGUCAAAAAUUACUAAAUUCCCCCCAAAAUGUGAAAUUACCGAAUUGCCCUCCCUAGUCAACGGUGACUGGAAUUCAAGUGACGGUGACUGAAAAGCUUGGGUUAGACACUUAUGGCUGAGCUGAGUUCAACGAUAUCGGUGGUGAGCUCCCACGUACGAUGACAGCGCCAAAAUCUAGCUCGACAGCUGUGAGCACCGCAACAAUUGGCCGGCGGCGAAUUGGUGGCUUGGCUGGAAACCAGCCAAAUUGCGACAAAUAGAGGCAGUGAUUCUACGAUUCUUCACUACUUCGAUUGGUUGCUUUUUGGUUGUUUUUUGGUGUAAAUAACGACGAAAAAAUAACCAGUGGCUCAAGGGCUUUUGAUCGACACCUCCCUUGAGCGAUAGGGUGGUUAUAAACAGAAACAAUGGUCGGGUCAGGUUUGCGGGUUUGGGUCGGGUUUCUAGGUCUUUUUGACAGCUUCCUCUCUCUCUCUCUCUCAUGUGUGAACUCCCUUCAAAACAUUUACUAAGCUUCUUUUUAUUUAUUUUUUAAACUUCCUUUCCUUUUUUUUUCACAUACAUAACAAUUAUAAAUACAAUUUUAGUGUACCUUCUCUCUAUCAUAUCGAAAACCAUGGAUUAUUAUAGGGCUAGGCAAAAUCGGGUUCGGAUAAAUUUAUCUUACCCAAUCAACUCGAAACCCGAUCGGGUUUCGAGUUGAUUGGGUAAGAUAAAUUUCAUUUGAACUUAACUUGAAUCUAUAACCAGAUCUGAUAUGAUCCGAACAUGAUUGAAUUGGACCAGAUUGAGUAAAAAAAUCGAGCUGAAUUCAGAUGAAAUUUUUUGUUGAAGCUACUACACAUUUCAAUACACAAUUUUCCUAAAUUCAUUAUUAACAUUUACGAAUACACAUUAUUAACAUAUCAUAUAUAAUAUAUUAUACUAUAAAAACUUCAAGACAUAAAAUUCGGGUUACCGGGUCGUAGAAGCUUGGUGAUGGCAGAUCCAGUAGCGGUAGAUUUGGUAGCAAUAGAUUUGAUCGCGGAGCAAUAGAUCUAGUAUUUGGCUGUGUCGGGGGGCUGCGCUGCGUUAAUACUUUUGUCAGUGGUUGCGUUGGGGGCUGCUGCUUUGCUUUUUAUUGGGUUGUGUAUGAAAUCAUCCAUGAGGCGUGAAGCCAUGAACAAUGUCUAUGAGCUGUGAUUUGUGUCUUAUGAAGAGUGAAGAGAUAAAGAGAAGAAGAGAGUUAGAGAGUAAGAUCCGACAGGUGAGACAGUAAGAAGUGAGAAAGAGAGUGGAGACAUGAUGAUGUGAUUGUGUGUUUGUACCGUGUGCAGUAUGUAUGUGAGUUUCAUUUUGUUUUUUUGUUUUUACUUAACCCAACUCGAUCGUAUUUUCGAAUCGGAUAAGGUGAAUCUGAUCCGAUCAUGAUCCAAUUGGGUUGGCUCACAUUGAUCCGAUCAGGUUUUAUUAACAAUCUGAUUCGAUCCGAACCUAAUGUUUUUCGAAUUGGAUCAGGUCGGAUUGGAUUAAUCAGGUAUUUUGCCUAGUCUCAGAUUAUUAUUUAUGAUUAAUACUAAAAAGUGUACAUGUAAUAAGGAUAAAAUUAUUAGUUUUCACUUAAAGUGUUGAUCAAUGCCCUCAUAACUUAUAAAUUAUAUGAAUGUUCCCCAAAUAAAUUUUUGUAUUAAAUUAAUUCGUAAUAUGUUAAUUUUAUCUUGUAAAUUUUUUCAGGAAAAAAAAUAGAGUUGGAACUAGAAACGGAAAUAAAGAAGAAUUACUGAAGCCACUUGGAAUGCAUUAUUGAGGAGAUGUAAUUGAUAAAAAAAAUAAUAAAUAAAUAUUUCAAAAAAUAAUAAAAUAAAUAAAUAAAUGACAAAGUGUGAUAGUCACGAGUGAAAGUUGCCACCAUGAGUAUCACACUUCUCAUGUUAUAACAUAAAUAAUAAUAAUAAUAAAAUAAAUAAUAAUAAUAAAAUAAAGGAAGUUAAAGGCAUUCGUUGCCUAUAAAAAGGGGCUGGUGUAAGAAUUGAAAAAAAAGCCAGUAGAGAGAGCUUAGUCGAGACGUGGGACAAGAGAACGAAGAUGAGGAAUUGUGUCUUUUUCUUUUUCUUUUUUUUUUGUAAUCAAAUUCCUUGUAACAUAUUUCAAAACUUUAUUAAAUAAAAAGAGUAUUUUGUUUUAUUUUAAUAUGAGUGGCUAAUUUACUAAGCUGAGGUGCAGGGUGAAACUCAAGGUUUCAAACUAUUAAAUUUAUUACUUUCUCAAGUGAGUUUUUAAGUUUAUUUUAUUCUUUUCUAGUUAUUUUUAGGUCAUGUUAAUCUAUAUAUUCUCUUGGAUCUGUAUGGUAUUUUGACAUAAUGUCGACACAUUAAUACAAUUGCAAUACAUUAGGUACUUUAUUCCAUAUUUAUCCACACAUAUAGUUAGUUGAGAAUUAAAUGAUAUAAUAAUUAACUGGUAAAAGUGAGGUAAAAUAUAAAAAUGAGAAAGUAUUAAAAUUAUAGUUUGAAUAUUGAGAGUGGAUCUCAUAACCUUAGCAUAUUUUUAAAUUGAUUCCUAUUAAUUUUUUUCCCGCAAUUAAUUUUCUUUAUUUUAAAUUGACUGCUAGAUUUUAAAAUCCCUAUGGUUCGACCUCGAACUCACCGGGUUAUAUUAUAACUAGACACUCAUAUACAUGAGAGUAAUAACACUUUUGAGUUGUGUCAAUUUACAUUAAAACAAUUUUUCUUACCUUUUUUUUUCUUAAUUUAUUUUUAAAUUAGGACCAUUAAUCAAUUUUUUUUAAUCUUUAUUAGGGCUUUGCUUUGAUUAUGUAUGACUUCUUUGUCAUUAUUGCUCUGCAAUUCCUCAAAAUCAAUAUUAGUGCUGUAUUCUUUGAAUUGACAUAAAAUACAUAUGUAAAUAAAGGAAGUAAAUGCUGAUCUAACCUUAUAUUUUGAUUUAAGUAUCUAUUUAAUCAUUAUAUUUUAAAAAGUAUCUCAAGACACCUCUAUUUUUAAAUAUGUUAUGCUUUACUUUUAUUUUUUCUUGAUUUUAUGCUAAUAUCCUUACUACAAUAUUCAUGACAUUAAUUAAUUUAUGCAUUGAAAAGUUAAUUAAGCAUAUUAAUAAAUAAUUCUUUAUUAACAAUUAACCAAUAAAUUUAAUAAAAAAAGAUAUUUUUAUGCCCUUACAGUAAUUUUACUAAUAUUUAUUUAUACAUAAAUUAAUAUCAGUCAACUUUAAGCACUUUUUAAUAUCCUUACAGUAAUCUUACUAAUUAAUUAUUUGUAAAAAAAUUAAUUUACAAAAUUAAUCCUAAAAGCAAAAUAAUAAGCAAAAGUUCAUACUAACUUUUAGGGAAAUUAUCAUUCGUAUACCCUAUAUUUGCUUUGUUAUAAAAAAUACUACAACACUUUGAGGGUGUAUCAAUCGUCCACCCUUAGUUGACAAAAUGUAUCAGCCGACCACUAAACCGUUAGUUGCCGUUUGAAAGUUAACGGAAUUACAGUGAAUUGACGAUUUUACCCUUGAAAAUUAUCACUUGUAUACCCUUAAAUUCUCUUUUUAUCACUUAUAUACCCUUAAAUUAUUACUUGUAUUAUAUGAAAAGACCAAAUUACCCUUCUGACGUCAUCAUACUUAAAUGGCAACUAACGGUUUGGUGGUCAGCUGAUACAUUUUGUCAACUUAGGGUGGAUGAUUGAUACACCUUCAAAGUGUUGUAGUAUUUUGAUAAUUGAGUAAAUUAAGGGUAUACAAAUGAUAAUUUCCCCUAACUUGUAUUUUACUUUCACAUUGAUUCGAUAAAAUAAUAUUGUAAGGAUAUUAUUGGAAAAGCACAGAAAAAAAUAAGAUAGGAGUGUCUUAAGGUAUUUUUUAAAAUAUACCGACUAAAUAAUUACUUAAUUCAAAUAUUGAAAGUAAGGUGGCAUAUGCUUUUUUAUUUAAAAUUUGAAUAGACAUGAAUUGUUUUGAAAUCUGAAUAGACUAAAUGUCUGAAUCUAAAUAACAUGUUUAUUUUUUCGUCUGAAUCUCUGAAAAUAAGUAUUAAGUUGUUUGUUUUUAUUUUUAAAAACUAAAAAACAUAUACUUUUACAUUUGUAUCCUUAUUAAAUUUGAAUGUCAAAUAAUAUAUAUAUAUGUGUGUGUGUGUGUGUGUGUGUGUGUGUGUGUGUAAUAUUAUAAAAAGAAAUUAAAUAUUACAUUAAAAAACAUAAGAAUAAGAUCUUUAAUUAUUGAUAGGAGAUUCAAGAACUUGAUGAGAGAAGCUAAAUAAAUAUGAAAUUAUUAGUGGGUAAAACGUGUAUGAUGAGUUUUGGGAUAGGCACGAAAAAUAAAUAAUAAAGUAGGGAUAUUUUUUGUAUUAAAAAUUAACUUGCUGAUUUAGAUUUCUCUACUUAGUAAAAACCAAAGAAAUUCGUUUAUUUUAUUAAGUCAAAUUAUCUAAAAAAAUUCCAUUAACUUAUAUAAACAAAUACUUCUAAAUAACUUAAUUAAUUAAGUUAAAUCACUUUAAAUCAUUAAAUUAAAAAAUAAACACCCGCUAACUUUUACCCCAAAAAAAGUUUAGAAUUUUAGUAUCUGUUGGCUUUUAUAAUUGUGUUAGAACUCAGCCGUUCGUGUAUAAAAUUCGUGGCUCUAUGAAAGAAAAGCAGAAGAUCUGUGAUGAGGUAUGAAUUGGCACAAGAAACACGUGAAAGAGACACGCCAAAAGUGGAGAUGGAUCAUUCAAUUUGGGUGUAUGACAAAAAAUCUUUAAUAACCAAAUUUGGGAAUUGGGACAUGAAUAUGAUAAUUGAAAGGUGAAAGCAAUGUGUAUGGAUGAGCAUUUGAAUUAGGAGACAU